AUCCAGUUGACGAGUCCCAAACAGGACGAAAUGAGCAUCCUGGCUGGAU
rfam:Trichobilharzia regenti genome assembly, scaffold: TRE_scaffold0029344